AGGACGAACGCUGGCGGCGUGCCUAACACAUGCAAGUCGAGCGAGGAGAUCCUUCGGGAUGAUCCUAGCGGCGGACGGGUGAGUAACACGUGGGCAACCUGCCUCAUAGAGAGGAAUAGCCUUCCGAAAGGGAGAUUAAUACCUCAUAACAUUGCAGUUUCGCAUGAAACAGCAAUUAAAGGAGCAAUCCGCUAUGAGAUGGGCCCCGCGGCGCAUUAGCUAGUUGGUGAGGUAACGGCUCACCAAGGCGACGAUGCGUAGCCGACCUGAGAGGGUGAUCGGCCACAUUGGGACUGAGACACGGCCCAGACUCCUACGGGAGGCAGCAGUGGGGAAUAUUGCACAAUGGGGGAAACCCUGAUGCAAGCAACGCCGCGUGAGUGAUGACGGCCUUCGGGUUGUAAAGCUCUGUCUUCAGGGACGAUAAUGACGGUACCUGAGGAGGAAGCCACGGCUAACUACGUGCCAGCAGCGGC
rnacentral:rRNA from 1 species